CAGCAGCCGCGGUAAUACCGGCGGCCCGAGUGGCGGUCACUAUUAUUGGGCUUAAAGCGUCCGUAGCCGGGUUGGGAAGUCCUCCGGGAAAUCUGGCCGCUUAACGGUCAGAAUGCCGGAGGAUACUCCCAGCCUAGGGAGCGGGAGAGGCCGAGGGUAUUCCCGGAGUAGGGGUGAAAUCCUAUAAUCCCGGGAGGACCACCUGUGGCGAAGGCGUUCGGCUGGAACGCGUCCGACGGUGAGGGACGAAGGCCAGGGGAGCAAACCGGAUUAGAUACCCGGGUAGUCCUGGCUGUAAACGAUGCGGACUUUGUGUCGGACAAGCUAUGAGCUUGUCCGGUGCCGGAGGGAAACCGUUAAGUCCGCCGCCUGGGGAGUACGGCCGCAAGGCUGAAACUUAAAGGAAUUGGCGGG
rnacentral:rRNA from 1 species